CAAUGAGCAAUGGUCCCACCCUAGUGAAGUCACAGGCAGGUCUUCCUGUAAGGGACCAGGGACUCUCAGAACUUGCACCUCUCCAAGGAUCAGAGGUCAGCUUAAAGCUUUAAACAGACAAAUGUCUCCCUCCUGUUCCAGCCCUUCCAGGGGCCCUAUAUUUCUUCCUCAUGUGAUCUUCUGUCUUCUUGGAGCAGCUUGUGUGGAUGGAAUGGUCAUACAGAACCCAAGAUUCAAGGUUGCCAGGGUUGGAAAACCAGUGAAUUUGAGCUGUUCUCAGAAUCUGAAUCACAAUGCCAUGUACUGGUACCAUCAGAAGCCAAGCCAAGGACUCAAGUUUCUGCUCUACUACUAUGAUACAACAUUGAACAGGGAGACAGACACUUCUGAUAACUUCCAAUCCAGCAGGCCCAACAAUUCCUUCUGCUCUCUUGACAUCCGUUCUGCAGGCCUAGGGGAUUCUGCCAUGUACCUCUGUGCUAGCAGCAGAGACACAGUGCUACAACGUCACCUACCCUCCAUUCACAAACAUUUUUUCUUUCUCAGACCCAAGUCUAGAAACCACCCCUCCCUUCCUGCAACAGUAGGAAGUGGGUUUAUGGCUGUCAUUCCUCAUCCACAGACUGAAGUUGACCAUAAACCAACAAAACCAUUGGCAGUUAUGUCAAGAGUGGGAUUGUGGUCACACGUGCCCAACAUUCAGUUUGUGAUAUUUUCCUGUGAUCAAUUCUUUCAUCUUCAGUGGAAAAAUAGAAAAUAA